rnacentral:misc_RNA from 1 species
UUGCAACUACAUUACCGUUCUCUCCAUCCCAACCAUCUUCAAUGACUGAUGAAGAUAUUACUAAUCUUAGAAAUUUGCAACGUCUAUUACUGUUGAUAUCAGGACUCCAAGAAAAUGAGAACCCCAGCAUGAAGGUUAAUGGAGUUAGAACAUCCAACAAGCAGAUGAUAUUUUUAAACGGAGCACCUCUUCAGCAAUUUGAAGCUGUCCAAGAAUAUCUACCCCUCCUUUCAGUUUUACCUGAGCUUCCACAAGAGA